UGGGGAAUUUUGGGCAAUGGGCGCAAGCCUGAUCCAGCAAUGCCGCGUGCAGGAUGAAGGCCUUCGGGUUGUAAACUGCUUUUGUACGGAACGAAACGGCUCUGGUUAAUACCUGGGGCUAAUGACGGUACCGUAAGAAUAAGCACCGGCUAACUACGUGCCAGCAGCCGCGGUAAUACGUAGGGUGCGAGCGUUAAUCGGAAUUACUGGGCGUAAAGCGUGCGCAGGCGGUGAUGUAAGACAGAUGUGAAAUCCCCGGGCUCAACCUGGGACCUGCAUUUGUGACUGCAUCGCUGGAGUGCGGCAGAGGGGGAUGGAAUUCCGCGUGUAGCAGUGAAAUGCGUAGAUAUGCGGAGGAACACCGAUGGCGAAGGCAAUCCCCUGGACAAAGACUGACGCUCAGGUGCGAAAGCGUGGGGAGCAAACA
rnacentral:rRNA from 1 species